AUGCCUGCCAAUAACUUUCCUUAAAAUGAUGUGCUAGUGAGAUAUGCACAUGCCAGAUCUUAGGUUUUAGGAAAUGUAUCAAUGUCAUUGGUGUUUUUUACUCACUGACUCUUCAGUUUACUAGGUGUUCUGGCAGAAUGCAAGGUUUUGACUUUUCUUCACCAGGCAGUUUUCACAGAUGGUAAAUACAUUAUAAAUAAAUGUGCCUACUGUUUCACCUGGGUGUUGGGAAAGUACUUAGUCUCUGGCCUUGACUAGGUGCCCCUCUUUGAAGGAGUAGAUGAAUAAGUCUUGUAUGGUUCCGAACGUUAUUUCUUCCACUGAUAAGCUUGACCUACUUCUUGUCUGCCUGUAUGACUGGGGGACCAUUUUUUACAUGGCUUUGUUGGAAAAAUCAGAAUAUAUUUUUGAUUUGAAAUAGUCACACUGCUUUUAUGUUCGUAGAACUCUUUCAUUAUUUUUCUAGAUCAUUCGAACAUCUAUAAGAUUUGUGACUAAUGGUUGACCUAAGGAUUCUUAAAUGAAAUUUGAGGGUUUAAAGUAGGUUUACCAACUUUAAAACACAUAUACACACAGCAGAACACAGUGGCAACGGUAAUAACAGGAUUAUCCUCAUCGCCACUAGUGAAAUGACAGGAUAUUCUAAGCCAAAAUAGAACAUUACUGGUGCUUCUGAAAAAGCCCAGUCACAAUACACUUUUUGAGAGGUGCUAGGAAAAUUUGUAGUAAAAACCAUUCUGUUUCCGUGGAGUUCCCGUCCAUGGCUCAGUGGUUAACGAAUCUGACUAGGAACCAUGAGGUUGCAGAUCCUUAACCCACUGAGCGAGGCCAGGGAUCAAACCUGCAUCCUCAUGGAUGCUAGUCAGAUUUGUUUCCGCUGAGCCACGAUGGGAACUCCAGAUAUCUUCUUCAUGUCCUCUGAACUGCAGUUAUUUUUCUGCACAUUGUAUGAUAGAUGCUUAAGUCUUAACUACAAAUCGGUGAGGGCAUAAAACAAUGGAUGAAAGGGACCAGAGUGGGGAGAAAGGGAGUCUGGUUCUUUGUUUCAGCAGCAACUGUGUUUGCAUAAAAAUUAGAUAGGACUAUAUAAAGCUGGGGUUUAUGAAAAGAAAGGACUUAUUCAUUUGGGUUGGUGGUUAGUUGCUGGUCUCCUUCCAGAUACGUCGUCAUUUCUAUUUCAAUUUCCUGAGCCCGUAGCUUUGGGUGCAUACUGAGAUAUUGAAUGUGAAAGUGAAAAUCUAUAAAUCAUUUUCUUUGUUAAAACAUGUAUACAGAAUCUUGGCCCUAGAAAAUGACCUUAUCUCAGAGGAGUUAUGCAAGUUCAGGAAAGAGGUAAUUUAUGCUGCGAUUCUUUAGCUGGAAGAUUUGUCACCAGAUCACCUUUCUAAUGGUCAUUUUAUUUAAACCUAUGGUAAAUAUGCUUUGAACAGCAAACUGAUUAGUGGAAAUUAUUGUUACAUGUGAAAGGAUGUCUUUGAAGUUAUUUUCGUAGUUAUUGCCAUAUUUUUCUACUUCCUUAAUCUUCUGUUUAGUAAUGAACUCACAUGAUGUUAGGUAUGUCGGUUGUGCGUUUUGUGAAAUAGAAUAUUAAAUCCGUUGAAGUAAAUAUUCUGAUUUGUGGAACUUCCCCUAACCUCUGAAGUUUCCUGAAAGGUUUGAAAUGACAGGAUAUUGUGUGAGGAACAGGUGGUUUAUUUUGUUUUCAGUAUUGUUAGUCACCAGCUAUCACACAGGCUGGAAAGGAGUCAGUACUUUUAGAGACUCUAAAUGACAAAGCGAGCAAGCUUUGAUUGGCUUCACGGCUCCAGAGGUGCAGAGAGGGGACAGUGAGACCCAGACAUGAGAGCGGAAGCGCUGGCUAAGCUCAGCCGACAGCAGGGGCACCCGCACCGGGUGCAGGGCUUCUGCCUGCAGCCCCCACCGAGCGGUGGGCGGGCUGGAUGGCACGGCGCCUGCGCCCAGGAGCCCAGGUCUGUCAUCUGAAAUAGACACUGGAAAGUGUGUUGGUUUUGGUUAAUUAUGAUGUAAUAAAGCACUGAUUGAAUAAAUCAACACGAUAGCACUUGAUCAGUUAUAUUUAACGCACCACUGAGAGGAAAAGAUAUUUGUGUCUUUCAAGUUAAAAGGACUGAGCAUUCUUUUUGGCCCUGAGCAGUUGCAGGACAGGACUGAGCGGGACACGAUGGCUGUCAGGGUGCUGGGCAUCGGGGACUGAGUGGGACACCGUGGCUGUCAGGGUGCUGGGGUCCUGGAUGGCAACUCUGACAGUACUGGGGGCGGGCGUCGGGGACUGAAUGGGACACUGUGGCCGUCAGGGUUCUGGGGUCGGGGACUGAGUGGGACAUCGUGGCUGUCAGGGUGCUGGGGGUCGAGGACUGAGUGGGACACGGUGGCUCUCAGAAUGCCCGAAGCCGGGACCGAGUGGGACACCAUAGCGCUAGGCUGGGCCUCGCGUUGUUAGUCCUUCUUUUGGUUUUCAUAACCUUGGGUUGGAAAUUCUUUCCAGGGACCAAUUUGUAUAUAGAUUUUCAGUCUGGGAACAAAUAAUCUCAUGACCCACUUACAGGCCUUGUUAAACAUUCAGAGUAAUGUUAAAAGACUUUUAAGAUGAAGGCAACUUUUACGUUUUAAAAUAUUUCAAAAUAUUUAUUCUUUUGGGACUAACAACUUCAAAUUAUUUUAUUCAUUCCUUUGAGGGGCUGCAUUAUUUUUAGUAUUAUACUCAAAAUAGCUACGAACUUUGGAUGAUAUACUUUAAAAGAUUAGAAAAGGUAACUACCAAGUUAAACAGCAUUUAGUUGGUUUUAAGAAGUUGUUAAAAUGAAUAAGUAAUUUGUAGAUUAACUGAUUUAAAAGUUAAAUUUAACUUUGGGUUCCAGUGAGUUAAAACACGAGAGAGAGGGUAUUACUCUUUUGUGUUUACUUGAAUUAUUUGAUUUGUAUUGCUGUGUAAACCAAUAUGUUAAUUUAAGCAUACAGCACUGUAAUAGGCAGGGUUCUCUAGAGAAACAGAACCAGUAGGAUACCUAUCCAAACACUCACACCUAUACCUCUCUGUAUGUCUGUAUACGUCCAUAACACAUACACACACAGUGUACAUACAUAACACACACAGAGACACAUAUACAAACAUGCACACACACAUACACACAGGUACAAGGAGAUUUGUUGAAGGAGUCUGCUCACGUGAUUGUGGAGGUUUGGGAGUCCCUGCAUCUGCCAUCUACAAAGUGGCGAUGCAGAAGAGCUGGUGAUGCAGUUCUAGUCUCAGCCCCAAGACCGGGGACCCAGGAGAGCUGGUGGUGUGAGCUUAGUGCACGUGUGAAGGCCCAGGACCCAGGAGAGCUGGUGGUGUGAGCUUAGUGCCCGUGUGAAGGCCCAGGACCCAGGAGAGCUGGUGGUGUAAGUUUAGUGCACGCGUCAAGGCCGAGGACCCAGGAGAGCUGGUGGUGUAAGUUUAGUGCACGCGUCAAGGCCGAGGACCCAGGAGAGCUGGUGGUGUAAGUUUAGUGCACGCGUCAAGGCCGAGGACCCAGGAGAGCUGGUGGUGUGAGCUUAGUGCCCGUGUGAAGGCCCAGGACCCAGGAGAGCUGGUGGUGUGAGCUUAGUGCACAUCUGAAGGCCCAGGAUCCAGGAGAGCUGGUGGUGUGAGUUUAGUGCACGUCUGAAGGCCUGAGAAAACCUGUGUUCCAGCUCAGCAGCCUUAGAGAGCGAGUUCUUCCCUUCUCUGCCUUUCUGUUUUAUUCGGGCCUUCACCAGAGUGGAUGAUGCUCACCCGCAUUGGGGAAGGCGAUCUCCUUAACUCGGUUCACCAGCUCAAAUGCUCUCUCAUCUGGAAACACUCUUGCACUCACAGAAAUCAUGUUUAACCCUGUAUCCGUGCGCCCCAUGAGCCAGUUAACUUGACACAUAAAAUGCACCAGUCCAAACCCUACAGGGUAAUUCUUUGCUAUGCUCCUAAUCGUGUUGUUUCCAAAAGUGCUUGUACUGUAUUUGAAACAAAUGAAACGGGAGAAACUGUUCUGAUGAAAAUAUUACUUUAACAUGAAGUUUCCUUUUCCUGAAAAAAAUAUCCCGUGAUUCCCCCCACCCCCACCCCCAGUACUGGCAGAGUUGCCAUCCAGGUCCACUGUGAAACCCCAUUUUUGGGUAGUCACCUGGGAACAUGUCCGUUCUUGAUCAGUUGCAACCAAGGGGACAGACUGUUAAGACUCCUCCGAGUUUGAGCUUGCCUCCGUCUUGCUGUCCAAACUCCGAUGUUUUCUCACGGGACAAGCAAACCAGUCAGACUGUCAGAGUGGUGGAGUCCAUGCCAUUAGUUUUCUUUAAUGCUUUUUAAGUGACGUUUUCACAAAACGUAUUAUUUAUUGAGUGUGCUCUUUUAGGGAGUGCUAGAAUUAAAGUUCAGGUUCUCUAAAUUAAUAAUUAUCAUUAUAGGCGUUCCCAUUGUGGCUCAGUGGUUAAUGAACCGGACUCACAUCCAUGAGGACACAGGUUCGAUCCCUGGCCUCGCUCAGUGGCUUAAGGAUCCCACGUUGCUGUGAGCUGUGGUGUAGUUCGCAGAUGCGGCUCGGAUCCUG
rnacentral:lncRNA from 1 species